AAAAGUAAAAACAAAAAAACAUGAUUCUGUUUGAAUAGAAAUUUCAGUUUAAAUCUGUAACCUAACAUGUAUUUGCAAAUAGUGAGCAAUUUUCCAUCUAAAAAAAUUCCAUUCUAAUAGUGUCACCAAUUAUCUAAAAAUCUUUAAAAAAAAUUAACUUGCUUUGUAGGUUCAUAUUUUAAAUCUAUACUUGACAAAUGCUUCAUUGAAUCAGAGGAAUAAUCCUUUUUUUCACUGGACAUGAUUGUGAAAAUUUUUAUCCGUUGUCUUAAAAAGUUUAUGUGAUUCUUAAAAUAUUUUGGCUGUAUAGUUUUGGUGUUUAUCUUAGAUUUGUCAACAAGGUGUGAUUAUUCUUUACUGUUUUGUGAGUAAUAUUGGUUUUGAAAGUAUAUACCAGUUAAGAACAGUAUUUUAUUGAAAUCAGUAGUUAUUGUGUCUAUCAACUCUCAAAAUCAAGUGCCAGCAAAGAAUUUUCAAACUUUAAGUCGUGUAUAGAAUUGUUUUGUGUAGCACUGAAAAAUUCUGUCCAUUUUGUAAGUCGCUAAAUGUUAUUAUCAGCUCAAAGGUAUUUUUCUAUUAAAAGUUUACAGUUAAAUAACAUAAGUGGAUGAUAGCAUUUGGGGCCAGUAGUGAAAGUAUAUUUCGUCUAAAAUAUUUCUCUAUGCAGUGGUGUACAAGGCUAUUUUAUUAUGGUAUUUGUACCCGUCCUGUGUUUCUCUAUGAACCCUGCUUCAGUCUUUGUUUCUGUCAACAUAUGUAAGGGAAAGAAAGUCCAGAAACAGAGAAUAAAUGACACAAAACUUACAUUGUUAAAUACAAGAAAAUGUAAGUGUUUACCUCUUGAGGUUUUAUUGGAUAUAAUUGUCAUGAUACAUACACAUGAUAAGUGACCAAAUGCUUAUGAUGUAUAACUUUUUCUACACGCAGUCAGAAUUUCCUCUCUGAAUCUUCAUUCAGUGACAUGCUAAUUCCUCUUCUGUUUUUUCUCCAGUGACAGAGUGUUAACAUUUCUUAUACCCUGGCAGAGAGUACAGAGGAAUGCCAUUUUUCUGGUAGGGAAUGGAAUUUUUUAUUGAAAUACCAUAGGAUGAAAACAGAAAGAGGAGGACAUAAAAGGUAUUUUUACAAGUUGUUCUUAGACAUUUUAAUAGGCUGUUUGAAGAUUCUACAAGACAUUCCUGUUCAACAUUUUUAGUGAAGUAAGAUGCUCACUUGUCCAACCAGUAUGUGUUCCUUCAGAAGGGCAAACCUGCUUUGAGUUGCUUAAGGCUAAAUUUUGUUUCAUUUGACAUCAGGGUGUUUCUGGGCACUGUCCUUAACACAAAGCUGUUUCUCCAUAGGAUUAUUUUUUGGCCAGCUUUUUCUUUGCUAGUUACUUCCUGUUGAUAGCUUUUCCUUUUAUCAGGUCGAAAUAGAACAGUGAUGAUCUCAACCAGGUCUUAAUUCUGCAGAAUUAAGGUUUUGCAACUGAUAAAAAACAUGUUUUCUGCUUGUCAUUUUCAACCUUUGGUUUAAAGCCUAAGCUAAAUAGUGGUGAUAUCUUGGUUUACAAAGAGGUUUUCCUAGGAAGAACUUUGGUUUUGUGCUAUAUUUGUGAACUAGAGAAUAGUUGUUAAUCAUUAUUUUAUGGAUAAGUGAUUUGUAUGUGAUUAGUUAUAAUAAAACAUACUAGAAUCCAGGCUUUUCUGACUUUUCAAUUCAUUGUUUUCUGCUAAAUGUAUAAAACCCU
rnacentral:lncRNA from 1 species